rnacentral:tRNA from 1 species
GCCUGGCUGGCUCAGUUGGUUGAGCAUGCGACUCUUGAUCUCAGGGUCAUGAGUUCGAGCCCCACGUUGGGUG